GUUAAUUGCGCUGAGUAUUUGUAUCUAAUCGUCAUUCAAAUUUUCUCCUAAUUAACCCUGGUCAGUUUCGCCAGGGUUUUU
rnacentral:ncRNA from 1 species